AUUGAACGCUGGCGGCAUGCUUUACACAUGCAAGUCGAACGGUAACAGGCCGCAAGGUGCUGACGAGUGGCGAACGGGUGAGUAAUGCAUCGGAACGUGCCCAGUCGUGGGGGAUAACUACUCGAAAGAGUAGCUAAUACCGCAUACGAUCUAUGGAUGAAAGCGGGGGACCGUAAUGCCUCGCGCGAUUGGAGCGGCCGAUGUCAGAUUAGGUAGUUGGUGGGGUAAAGGCUCACCAAGCCCACGAUCUGUAGCUGUUCUGAGAGGACGACCAGCCACACUGGGACUGAGACACGGCCCAGACUCCUACGGGAGGCAGCAGUGGGGAAUGUUGGACAAUGGGCGCAAGCCUGAUCCAGCAAUGCCGCGUGCAGGAAGAAGGCCUUCGGGUUGUAAACUGCUUUUGUACGGAACGAAACGGCUCUGGUUAAUACCCGGGGCUAAUGACGGUACCGGAAGAAUAAGCACCGGCUAACUACGUG
rnacentral:rRNA from 1 species